GUGCUCACUUCCGCAGCACAUAUACUAAAAUUGGAAUGAUACAGAGAAGAUUAGUACGGCCCCUGUGCAAGGGUGACACACAAAUUCGUAAAGUUCCAUGUGCUUUU